rnacentral:rRNA from 1 species
UACAGAGGGUGCGAGCGUUGUCCGGAAUCACUGGGCGUAAAGGGCGCGUAGGCGGCUUGAUAAGGUUGCGGUGAAAGCCCGGGGCUCAACCCCGGGUCGGCCGUGGCAACUGUCGAGCUGGAGCACUGUAGAGGCAGGUGGAAUUCCGGGUGUAGCGGUGGAAUGCGUAGAGAUCCGGAAGAACACCGGUGGCGAAGGCGGCAUCCUGGACCAACACUGACGCUGAGGAGCGAAAGCCAGGGGAGCAAACGGG